GACGAACCGUGCGAACGUUGUUCGGAAUCACUGGGCUUGAAGGGCGCGUAGGCGGACUGCCGAGUCCGGGGUGAAAUCCUCCCGCUCAACGGGAGAACGGCCCCGGAUACUGGCGGUCUCGAGGCGGGUAGGGGCGUGCGGAACUAUGGGUGGAGCGGUGAAAUGCGUUGAUAUCCAUAGGAACUCCGGUGGCGAAGGCGGCACGCUGGACCCGAUCUGACGCUGAGGCGCGAAAGCCAGGGGAGCGAACGGG
rnacentral:rRNA from 1 species